rnacentral:rRNA from 1 species
UACGUAGGGGGCAAGCGUUGUCCGGAAUCAUUGGGCGUAAAGAGCGCGUAGGCGGCCCUGUAAGUCCGCUGUGAAAGUCAAGGGCUCAACCCUUGGAUGCCGGUGGAUACUGCAGGGCUAGAGUCCGGAAGAGGCGAGUGGAAUUCCUGGUGUAGCGGUGGAAUGCGCAGAUAUCAGGAGGAACACCGAUGGCGAAGGCAGCUCGCUGGGACGGUACUGACGCUGAGGCGCGAAAGCGUGGGGAGCGAACAGG